CCAUAUUGAGGUGAGACGCCGAAGGGAGAGGACGUAGCGCCGCUCGCUCUCUCACUCACUCGUAUUUCUUCGUGCUAAGGUUAUUGUGUUAUUGUUUCGGGCGUGUGAGGCCAGUGAACACGUGACUCUGUUCUGAGAAGAAGGGGAGAAAAAAUCCCGUGAGUUUUUUUUUGACAUUUCCAAACGAGA